ensembl:misc_RNA Y_RNA Y RNA
GGCUGGUCCCAUAUAACGGUGUUUACAACUAAUUGAUCAUAACUAGUUACAGAUUUCUUUGUUUCUUCUCCACUCCCACUGCUUCAUUUGACUAGCCCUAA